UUUUGUAAUAAUAAUUAAUUUAAAGAGAAAAAACUGAUGAUGAUGAUGAUGACGAUUGUAAUUUUUCCCUCUCUGUCUAUCUUUUGAUGUCUGUCUCUCUUUACAUGUGAUGAUAAAAAAAAUUCAUUCAAUGACAUAUAUGUGUGUGGUUUGCCUGUUGCUUGGUUGUCGUUUUUUUUUUUUGCUGAUGAUUGAAUCAAAAAGAAAAAAAACAAAUUUCUGCUAUCUCGACUGGUUUUCACAUUCGAAACACAUACACACACAGAGAUAUCGUUGAUUGUGCUAUAUAGAAAAAAAUCUCUUCAAAGAAAAAAAAAUCAAAGCAAAUCAUUCGAUUUUUUUUUCUCAUUAUCAUUACAAAUUUUAUCACAAUUUGUACGCACGAUAACAAACGAAACAAAGAUUUUCUCGAUAAAUCGAUAAUUCAAUCAAAUUUCGUCCAAAAAAAAAGUUUCAUUUUCCUGUCUUGUUUUGUUUUUAUUUUUAUUUUACAAGUGAAAAUUUGCUCUCAAUUACAUCAACAGUUUAUGGUGGUGUGCACUCUAUUUUUUCGGUACAAAAUACGACAAAUUUGCACGUUCGUUCCAGCCACCAUCGUACUGUUAUAAAUUUUGAUUGAUUGAUUUAUGUCGAACGAAUAGAAAAGUUCCACUUUUUCUUCUCACAUAUAUAAAAUAAAAACCACGACAACCACACGACGACGACGACGACGACAAUCAAUCUCGAAACGAAGAGAACGAGUUUUUCCACUUGAAAAUUUUUAUUUUUAUUUUUCAUCAUUUGAUCUGUGCGCUUGUUGUGUAUAGAAACGAAUCAUCAUUUCAAUAAAAAACAUUUUGGAUCAGACAAACAAACAAA